rnacentral:rRNA from 1 species
AUUGAACGCUGGCGGCAGGCCUAACACAUGCAAGUCGAACGGUAACAGGAAGAAGCUUGCUUCUUUGCUGACGAGUGGCGGACGGGUGUGUAAUGUCUGGGAAACUGCCUGAUGGAGGGGGAUAACUACUGGAAACGGUAGCUAAUACCGCAUAACGUCGCAAGACCAAAGAGGGGGACCUUCGGGCCUCUUGCCAUCGGAUGUGCCCAGAUGGGAUUAGCUAGUAGGUGGGGUAACGGCUCACCUAGGCGACGAUCCCUAGCUGGUCUGAGAGGAUGACCAGCCACACUGGAACUGAGACACGGUCCAGACUCCUACGGGAGGCAGCAGUGGGGAAUAUUGCACAAAGGGCGCAAGCCUGAUGCAGCCAUGCCGCGUGUAUGAAGAAGGCCUUCGGGUUGUAAAGUACUUUCAGCGGGGAGGAAGGGAGUAAAGUUAAUACCUUUGCUCAUUGACGUUACCCGCAGAAGAAGCACCGGCUAACUCCGUG